AGAGUUUGAUCAUGGCUCAGGAUGAACGCUGGCGGCGUGCUUAAUACAUGCAAGUCGAACGGAGAUUGUAGCAAUACGGUCUAGUGGCGAACGGGUGAGUAACGCGUUAGUGACCUGCCCCGAAGAGGGGGAUAACAGUCCGAAAGGAUUGCUAAUACCCCAUACCUUUACUGGGUUUAGAAACCGGUAAAGAAAGGAGAAAUUCGCUUUGGGAGGGGCUUGCGUCCCAUCAGCUAGUUGGUAGGGUAAUGGCCUACCAAGGCUAUGACGGGUAGGGGACCUGAGAGGGUGGACCCCCACAAUGGAACUGAAACACGGUCCAUACACCUACGGGUGGCAGCAGUAGGGAAUAUUGGUUAAUCGACGAAAGUCGGAACCAGCAACGCCGCGUGUGCGAUGAAGGCCUUCGGGUCGUAAAGCACUUUUUGGAGGGACGAGGAAGGACGGUACCUUCAGAAUAAGCCUCGGCUAACUACGUG
rnacentral:rRNA from 1 species